rnacentral:rRNA from 1 species
GUCCCAGUUCGGACUGUAGUCUGCAACCCGACUACACGAAGCCGGAAUCGCUAGUAAUCGCGGAUCAGAAUGCCGCGGUGAAUACGUUCCCGGGUCUUGUACACACCGCCCGUCACACCAUGGGAGUCGGAAAUGCCCGAAGUCAGUGACCCAACCGGAAGGAAGGAGCUGCCGAAGGUGGAGCCGGUAACUGGGGUGAAGUCGUAACAAGGUAGC